UGGGGAAUAUUGGACAAUGGGCGCAAGCCUGAUCCAGCAAUGCCGCGUGAGUGAUGAAGGCCUUAGGGUUGUAAAGCUCUUUUACCCGGGAUGAUAAUGACAGUACCGGGAGAAUAAGCUCCGGCUAACUCCGUG
rnacentral:rRNA from 1 species